GACGAACGCUGGCGGCGUGCCUAAUACAUGCAAGUAGAACGCUGAAGGAGGAGCUUGCUUCUCUGGAUGAGUUGCGAACGGGUGAGUAACGCGUAGGUAACCUGCCUGGUAGCGGGGGAUAACUAUUGGAAACGAUAGCUAAUACCGCAUAAGAGUAGAUGUUGCAUGGCAAUUGCUUAAAAGGUGCAAUUGCAUCACUACCAGAUGGACCUGCGUUGUAUUAGCUAGUUGGUGGGGUAACGGCUCACCAAGGCGACGAUACAUAGCCGACCUGAGAGGGGGAUCGGCCACACUGGGACUGAGACACGGCCCAGACUCCUACGGGAGGCAGCAGUAGGGAAUCUUCGGCAAUGGACGGAAGUCUGACCGAGCAACGCCGCGUGAGUGAAGAAGGUUUUCGGAUCGUAAAGCUCGGUUGUAAGAGAAGAACGAGUGUGAGAGUGGAAAGUUCACACUGUGACGGUAUCUUACCAGAAAGGGACGGCUAACUACGUG
rnacentral:rRNA from 1 species